GGGGGCCCGAAUCGCCUCAGCCGCCGCCACCGCCGCCGCCAUUACAGGCCGCUCCCCCGCCGGGCGCCAGGAGGGGCGGGAGGGGAGGGCCAUGGCGCCGCCUCCUUCUCCUCCCGCGGCCGCUUGUGGUCCCUCGCCGCGCCGCCCCGGAGGAAAUGCCGCCCGUCCAGUUGUGAGGAUUGGUGACAACUGAGCUGCUUGUUGGCGUAUGCAGUGUGGGAACAGCUGUCUUCGUUGCCCUGGCGAUAAUCUGUCUGGAUUGCAAAUAGUCACCCAGCCAUUUUUGAAAUUGCAUCGGGGUCCGGAAGACACUAAUACUCUCGGAAGCAGCCAAGUGUGGCAGGAUGUUUGGACGAUGAUGAUGGCCAGGAAGCAAGAUGUCCGCAUUCCCACCUACAACAUCAGUGUGGUGGGGCUGUCGGGGACGGAAAAAGAGAAGGGGCAGUGCGGCAUUGGGAAGUCCUGCCUCUGUAAUCGGUUCGUACGUCCCAGGGCAGAUGACUUCCACUUGGACCACACUUCGGUUCUCAGCACGAGCGACUUCGGAGGCAGGGUUGUUAACAAUGACCACUUCCUGUACUGGGGGGAAGUGGUUCGCUCUUUGGAGGACUGUGUGGAAUGUAAAAUGCACAUUGUGGAACAGACUGAAUUUAUUGAUGACCAGACUUUCCAGCCUCACCGCAGCACAGCCCUCCAGCCCUACAUUAAAAGGGCAGCUGCCACCAAACUUGCUUCGGCUGAAAAGCUUAUGUACUUUUGCACUGAUCAGCUCGGACUGGAGCAGGACUUUGAGCAGAAGCAGAUGCCGGACGGGAAACUACUGAUAGACGGCUUUCUUCUCUGCAUCGACGUCAGCCGGGGGAUGAACCGGAGUUUCGACGAUCAGGUCAAGUUUGUCUCGAACCUGUACAAUCAGCUCACAAAAACAAAAAAGCCCAUUGUAGUGGUCCUGACAAAGUGUGACGAAGGCGUGGAGCGGUACAUUCGAGACGCGCACAGUUUUGCCUUAAGCAAGAAGAACCUCCAGGUGGUGGAGACGUCUGCCAGAUCCAAUGUGAACGUCGACUUGGCUUUCAGCACUUUAGUGCAGCUGAUUGACAAGAGCCGGGGGAAGACUAAAAUUAUCCCUUACUUUGAGGCUCUGAAGCAGCAGAGUCAGCAGAUCGCUGCUGCGAAAGAUAAGUACGAGUGGCUGGUGAGCCGCAUUGUCAAAAGCCACAACGAGACUUGGUCGAAUGUCUCGCGGAAGAUGCAGUCCUCCCCGGAGUAUCAGGAUUACGUGUAUCUGGAAGGGACGCAGAAAGCCAAGAAGCUCUUCCUGCAGCACAUCCAUCGCCUCAAACAGGAGCACAUAGAGCGCCGGAGGAAAUUGUACCUGGCCUCUCUGCCUCGUGCUUUUGAUGCCCUCAUUCCGGACCUGGAUGAAAUAAAUCACUUGAGCUGCCUCAAAGUGGAGAAGCAGUUGGAGAGUAAGCCGGACUUUUUGAAGUGGUUUGUUGUUCUUGAGGAGACUCCCUGGGAUGCAACCAGUCAUAUAGACAACAUGGAGAACGAUCGCAUUCCAUUUGACCUGAUGGAGACUUUGCCUGCACAGCAGCUCUAUGAAGCCCAUCUAGAAAAGCUGAGGAAUGAGAGGAAGAAAGCAGAAAUGAGAAGGGCUUUCAAGGAGAAUUUGGAGACAUCCCCUUUCAUAACCCCUGGAAAACCUUGGGAAGAGGCGCGCAGUUUCAUCAUGAAUGAAGAAUUUUACAUGUGGCUUGAAGAAUCUGUUUACAUGGAUAUUUAUAGCAAACAUCAAAAGCGAAUCAUAGAGAAGGCAAAGGAGGAGUUUCAAGAGCUGCUUCUAGAAUAUUCCGAACUGUUCUAUGAGCUGGAGCUUGAUGCCAAACCCAGCAAGGAGAAAAUGGGUGUUAUCCAGGAUGUGUUGGGUGAAGAGCAAAGAUUUAAAGCGUUACAGAAGCUUCAGGCUGAACGAGAUGCUCUAAUUCUGAAGCACAUUCAUUUCGUCUACCACCCAAUGAAAGAAACGUGCCCCAGUUGUCCAAUCUGCAUAGAUGCUAAAAUUGAGCAUUUGAUAAGCUCCAGGUUUAUAAGGCCGUCUGAUCGCAAUCAGAAGAACUUGCUUUCAGAGUGCAGUAUUGACAGAAUCAAUCUCGUGAUUCUUGGUAAAGAUGGACUUGCCCGGGAGCUGGCAAAUGAGAUUCGAGCUCUUUGCACAAAUGAUGACAAGUAUGUGAUAGACGGGAAAAUGUACGAGCUGUCCUUGAGGCCAAUAGAGGGUAAUGUUAGGCUUCCUGUUAAUUCUUUCCAGACACCAACGUUUCAGCCGCACGGUUGCCUCUGCCUUUAUAACUCUAAGGAAUCUCUGUCUUACGUUGUUGAAAGCAUUGAAAAGAGUAGGGAGUCGACUCUAGGCCGAAGGGACAACCACUUAGUUCAUCUUCCCUUGACUCUGAUACUAGUGAACAAGAGAGGCGAUACCAGUGGUGAAACACUACACAGCUUGAUACAGCAAGGCCAGCAGAUUGCCAGUAAGCUGCAGUGUGUCUUCCUUGACCCAGCUUCUGCUGGCAUUGGGUAUGGGCGCAACAUUAAUGAGAAGCAAAUCAGCCAGGUCCUCAAAGGACUGCUGGACUCCAAGCGCAACUUAAACCUUGUGAGCUCAACAGCUAGCCUUAAAGAUCUUGCUGACCUUGACCUUCGAAUUGUCAUGUGCUUGUUGUGCGGAGAUCCUUUUAACGCGGACGACAUCCUUCUGCCCAUUCUGCAGUCCCAAAGCUGUCGGCCCUCCCAGUGUGGAAGCAGCAAUUCUGUGUUACUUGAACUUCCGGUCGGACCGCACAAGAGGCGCAUCGAACUGUCCUUGCUUUCGUACCAUUCCUCGUUUAGCAUUAGGAAAAGCUGGUUGGUCCAUGGUUACAUUUUGUUCUAUUCAGCUAAACGUAAAGCAUCCUUGGCUAUGUUACGUGCCUUUCUUUGUGAAGUACAGGACAUCGUCCCCAUUCAGAUAGUGGCUCUCACUGAUGGCUCCAUAGAUGUCCUAGACAACGAUUUGAGCAGAGAACAGCUAACAGAGGGAGAGGAAAUUGCCCUGGAUAUAGAUGGAAAGUUUACAACCAUUCCUUGCAGUCACCCUCAACACAAACUUGAGAUUUUUCACCCGUUUUUCAAGGAUGUGGUGGAGAAAAAAAACAUAAUUGAAGCCACCCAUAUGUAUGAUAAUGCGGCAGAAGCCUGCAGUACAACAGAAGAAGUAUUUAAUUCCCCCCGGGCUGGCUCUCCUCUGUGUAAUUCAAACCUUCAGGAUUCAGAGGAGGACAUUGAGCCUCCAACCUACAGCCCUUUCAGAGAGGACACAUCUAUGCCCACUUUGUCCAAAGAUCUUUCUAAACUUUCUAUGGAACUGGAGGGGAACGAUGGUCUUUCUGUCUUUUCUGUAAUGAGCACUUUUGAAAGCAAACUGAACAACAAAGUACCUCCGCCAGUGAAACCAAAGCCCCCUGUCCACUUUGAUAUUACAAAGGGGGAUCUCUCUUAUUUGGAUCCAGGGCAUAGGGAGGGACAGAGGAAGUCUGUGACUUCCAGUAACUGGCCAGCCACAGACGGCUUUGACCCUUCUGAUUACGCAGAGCCCAUGGAUGCGGUAGUAAAACCGAGAAAUGAGGAGGAAAAUAUCUACUCUGUGCCUCACGACAGCACCCAAGGCAAAAUCAUCACCAUUCGCAAUAUUAACAAAACCCACUCCAACGGUAGCGGGAAUGGCUCAGACAGUGAAAUGGACACCAGCUCACUUGAACGUGGCCGAAAGAUGUCCACCCUUAGCAAACCAGUGUUGUAUCGGACAAGGUGCUCGAGGCUUGGGAGAUUUGCCAGUUACAGGACCAGUUUUAGUGUAGGGAGUGAUGAUGAGCUGGGGCCCAUUAGGAAGAAAGAGGAAGACCCGACCUCCCAAGGAUAUAAAGGAGAUAAUGCGAUCAUCCCGUAUGAAACUACUGAUGAAGAUCCGAGGAAAAGGAACAUCUUGCGUAGCUUGAGGAGGACCACAAAGAAACCAAAGCCUAAGCCUCGGCCGUCCAUCACAAAGACGACAUGGGAGAGCAACUACUUUGGGGUGCCUUUGAUCACUGUGGUGACACCAGAGAAACCCAUUCCCAUUUUUAUUGAGAGAUGCAUCGAGUACAUUGAAGCAACAGGUUUGAGCACAGAAGGUAUCUAUCGGGUUAGUGGAAACAAGUCUGAGAUGGAGAGCUUACAGCGGCAGUUUGAUCAAGAUCACGGCCUGGACUUUGCAGAGAAGGACUUCACAGUGAAUGCUGUCGCUGGAGCCAUGAAGAGUUUCUUCUCUGAGCUGCCUGAUCCCCUGGUUCCCUACAACAUGCAGGUCGAGCUGGUGGAGGCUCACAAGAUCAAUGACAGAGAGACGAAACUGCAUGCCCUGAAGGAGGUGCUGAAGAAAUUUCCCAAGGAGAACCACGAGGUCUUCAAAUACGUCAUCUCUCAUUUGAACAAAGUGAGCCACAACAGCAGACUCAACCUGAUGACCAGCGAGAACCUCUCCAUUUGCUUCUGGCCCACCCUGAUGAGGCCCGACUUCAGCACGAUGGAUGCCCUCACCGCCACCCGCAUUUACCAGACAAUCAUAGAACUCUUCAUCCACCAGUGCCCCUUCUUCUUCUACAAUCGGCCCAUCAUCGAGCCCCCCGGGGCCAUGCCCAGCUCGCCUUCCACCAUUCCUGCCAGCGCCCCCUUCCUCUCCUCCACACCCGUGAUGGCCCAGCCUUCUCCUCCACAGACUCCUCCCCCUUCUCCGCAGUCCCCCCUCCAGCCCCUCCUCCCCCCCCAGCUUCAGGCUGAGCAGCACACACUGUGAAACCUCAAGAGCAGCUCGGAACAGAGGUCUGCUUCUGUUCUUGCCCGCAGAGCAGAGCUCGGGAACUCAGCCCCGGUGCCCGUCGGCCUUCUCUUUCCUCACCUCAGCCACGCCGGCAGUGGCCUGCUGGGGCAUUGGACACCUGUGAAGCCUUGGUUCUGUCUCAGUGCCUGGUGUGGAAGGGCCCGCUGGGUCCGUGGCCCCUUUGGAUGUUGCUCUGGGCACCAGGCAUUUGCGGGCCUCUCUCUUUGAAUGCCGAAUCUGUUCAGUUGGGGUACACUUAGACCCACGUGAACCCAGAGCCCUGGGUGAACGCUGUGAAGUCCAGCUGGGAGGCCCUGAUGUGAGGGUUCGGAUGGGCGUGUGGGAAUCACUUCCUUCCCCCCUCCCUGUGCAUGAACGGAGCGGGCCUGAUAGAGCCGCCGCCACCUCCUCCACCCAACACAUUCCACAAGUCGUAACCGAGGACUCUCCGACACUGCUGGACAUCUCGCUGAUUUUUCAGGGGACCACAAUUUCAUCUGAGACCAAUUUACGUCAUCUCAGCCUCGCUGCUUUGAAGGCCCGGACCAGCAAGUCCGUCAGAGGGGAAGGCUUUUUGCAUUUUGACAAGGCCGGAAUGUCACUUUUUCUCCUGACUGUGAAGCAGCGGCCAGUCGUAAAAAGGGAGGGAACUCCUGAAGAGGCUGGGGGAAAGAAAGGAAUGCUAAAAAAACCGGAAGGAUGCCCCUCCCUCCAAUUCUUCUGGCUGGGCGGGGGGGGGGGGGGGUGGUCCCUAGUCUGCAAACGAGUGUUGACAACUGGCUCUUUUUCUAUGAGGGAAGAAUCUGUGCAUGGCAGACAUAAGGGCAGGGGGAAGGUGACUUGGGUUAAAUCAGGCCUGGUUUGUCCUGCCUCCAUCUGGCAAGUCACUGCAUCUCUCACUCUCACCUCCGCCUCCCCCCCCCUCAUGGCAUAUUGGUGUUAGCACUUAGGGGAGGGGGGGGCAGUGAGCACAGCUGUGUUUUGCCAACAGUCCUAUCUUUUGCCGUCUGACUUGGGCUCGAAUUCCUUUUUGAAACACUAUGUUGACAGAAACACUGUUUGAAUGUGUGUGUUUUUGUACUCAUGUGGGGCAUGAGAUCGCUUGCAAAUGGGUGUGUGUGUGUGUGCUAGAACCACAGUUUUUGAAAAAGUUGCCAAUGGAAACUUUAAAAAAAACACACACAAGUGUGGAAUGUGAUGCAGGAUUGAAAUGGAGGGAAUUGCAGGUCUGUCAAGCUCCCUUCCACUGAGUGUUGAAUUUGGGAGAGGCUGCUUUUGGAGACUAAGAGAGCCACAUGCUGCUGUGACCCCCCUGGGGUGGGUUCUUGGGUGUGUUUGACUCAGGAGGCCCAGAGCCUGUUUCCAGGGGCUGUUGGGGUCAGGGUCUGGGCCAGGCCCUUCGUUGCUUUCUACUGCUCGGAUCUCUCAGUAACCAUGUUGAAGGGCAGCGGCCGAGGUCGCUGUUAGGUUCUUCAAGGUCUUUAAACAUAUCAGCCUUGUGGCAGGAUCAGCUGCCUUGCCAAAACCAGCACAGGAGAAGAGCGCUCUGUGCAUGCCCCCAAGUUGCUGUGGCCCAUUCUCCGCCCUGCCCCCAAACUGCAAGAUAUCCGUGCCACAUCUCCGCUGUUUUUUGUGUGCUCUCGUGCAGCAGUGUGCUAGCUUCCUUGUCCCCGCUUUCUGUUGCCCUUUGCCCACGCCAAAAGCCGUUGUCUCCCCUGAUGAGACCUCAAACCUGUAAUCUCCAAUGCCUUUCGUAACCAGGAUAUGUGCUGGAUAAGCUGCACAAUGUCCCUUUGCCUCAAGUGACUUCUGCUUGUCUCCCUGUAGGGAAAGAGACAAAGAAGGCAACCACUAGUGAGAACCAUCCAGUGUUCCACUUUUACCAGUGCAGGGGGGAAGGGCAGUUGUCCGUGUCCAGCGUGCAGGCAUUUCUCAGUGCACGAGUGUAAGAAAGAGCAGGUAAACAGGGCAGUUUUUAAACUGGAGUUCCCACGGUACCACUGGGAGGAUGAAGAGUCCCUUCUGUCUCUUCGCACUUUAAAACAACCUGUGGUUUAUCACUUUUUUUUUAAGCAUUUCAAGGAUGUUUGAGUGAAAUACCUGGGGGAGGGAAAGGGGUGUCCUCCCCCGCCCCCUUCACAAUCAAGCCCCUCUUUUUACUCUACUUCUGCCUGGCCUACAUAAGCUCCCCUCCCGGCAUCUUCAGCGAUCUGUUCUCUCCUCUAAAUAAACUGAUUCAUGUGCUCAUUAUUUCACAAUCAGAAUUGAGAAGCUGUACCGGUGUCAGGAAGAACCACUUGUGGGCGUCCCUCCCAAGUUUUGUAUUCUCGUGUGUUUGGAAAUGAAGCUUUUAUGUAAAUAUUGGAUUAUUUUUUUUUUUUAGAAUGUUAACAAAGGGAAACUGAAUAUGCCUCCUCUCUCUCCAUAAUUGUGCACGCAUAAUGCUAAAAAUCAACAGAGCAGAGAGGAAGGUGAUGCUGGACGGUUUCCCCUUCAGCUUUCCUCCUAGCAGAGGGGAGAGCUGCUUUCAUGCCGGGCUGUGCUCGUGGGUGUCGGGUUUGGCUACAAACAACAUAGGCUGCUGGGAAAUGCUUCUCUCCACGUGGGGCAGGUGACUUCUGGUUUGUAUGCAAAGUGUGUGUUUCUGUGCCUUCUCUCUGGGUCUGAUGCUAACCAUCUUCAAGACUCCUCAACACCUGUGGAGAUACAGACAGGGCUAGCCUUCCUGGCCAGGUGUCCGUGGGAACGCUUGUUCCCUGUGGCAUCCUUUCCUUCCUUCCCAAUUCACAGCUUGCCUUCGACCCCCCCCCCCCCCGGCAGCACACCUUAAAUGCCCCUCACUGACCCUGCAGCUGGUGCGGCCGGCAAACACAACCUUGGUAGUUCCCUACCCCUGACCUAUGGCCUUCCAGAUCUGUCUUUAGUUGGAAGUCUACCAUAGGCUUAGUUUUAUUUGGGGUCCCCAGCCUGGGGCUUAUGAUCCAUUGGCACCUGCUGACACCUUUUCUGGGUGUUUUUAAGAAAUUGGGUGUGGCCAGGUUGGAAUGUUGCCCAGCAGGGAUUCUGAUUGGCCAUUGAAAAUUUGACUGGCUGUGCAGGGUUUUUUUUUUUUUGCUGUCACCGCCACUGCCAACAUAUCGCGAGGAUCUUCACUGUGUGGCUAAAGAAAAGCUGGGGCAGCCAUUUUGUAUCUGCCUCCUGCCGCACCCAUCUUGUGGCUGUGCCUACCAGUCAAGUUCCAAAGGUUUGAGGACCCUUUUUUUAGAUGCAGAAGAGUUACUGCUUUUGUGUGGGGUGGACCUCACAGUUCUCUUCUCUCCACUUUUUCCCCACCUGCAACCUUGCAAGUCUGCUACAUGCAUGAAGAAGAAACGUGCGCUGAUGCCCCCCCCCUUCCUGCCUGCCUGCUUCCCACCCCGUCUUCUCCGCUUGACACGCAUGACUUCAAGUGCCCGUUUUGAAUGGGGUUGAAUCUUGUUCCUCCUGUGGGGAGAAGGUUAAGCCAACAGUGCAAGUUAAUAUCAAUACAGUGCAAAAAAAAAGAGUAAACGUGCAAAUGUUCUAUAUGUCUAUACCAGUGAUGGCGAACCUUUUCGAGAUCGAGUGCCCAAACUGCAACCCAAAACCCACUUAUUUAUCGCAAAGUGUCAA